AGGGUUGGAAUUAAAUCUACCCACAUCUAUAAAACAUCUUACAAAACUACCCACUUUGAAAGUCAAAACCGAAAAGUACACUUGAUGGUGAUGGGUUGCUUGGUUUUUUGUAAAAGUUCUUACACUUUUCUUACACAAGUACAAUUGUGUAAGAAAAUGUGUAAGAUAGGUAGUUAAAAAUGCACAAAACCAGAUAAAUGUGCAAUUAUUGUAAGAUGAUUGACGUAUAAUGCCCUAAGUUUGAAAAUAA
rnacentral:lncRNA from 1 species